ACUUUUAGAGGAUGACAGACACCCGUUGGUCUUAGGAACCAAAAGACUUGGUGCAACUCCAAGUAAAAGUA